UCCAAAGAGGUAUAACUUUAUUCAAAUCAUAAACAACCAAACAUAAAAAAUAAAAUAAAAACUGCAUAGGAAAUGUUUAAAGUCCACAAAGACAAAAGAACAAGACUGCAGACCACUAUGUAUUUCAUAUAGCCUCAUCAGCCUUAUUCAGAGAGUAAUAAAUGACCGUUCUGUUGCUUUGGUUGGGGGGGUGAUCGAUGGUGGGAUAUGAAACAAAAAGAGAUGGAAAGAAUGGUGGGCCUCUUGGAGGGCUCCUAAACCAAUAUCAUCCACCUGAAAGGACAAUCAUUUUACUUUAAAAGGCAAACCCGAUUCCAGAUCAGAAUCUCCCCACACCUCUUUGCUUAGCCUCUCUUACAGCCAAGCCUGAUGUAAAUAUCAAAAGUCUAAAUGUCUAUUAUCACUAUAAUUCUAAUUUAGAGACAGACCGUUGGCCUCAAAUUUCUUGAAACCCUAUUUUUCAAGCUUUUUUUACAUUUUGUAACAGCCUUUGAAUGCAAACACAUUUUUCAUAUCCAUCCAUCAAUCAAAGAGGUAAACGAUUCCUUUAGUUACAUGGUUUAAAUUAAUCAAAUCAAGUUCGGACUUUGGGAAGAAUGCAAAACUGAGACAUGCUGGUGUAAAAGAUAUGAAUUAUUUCCCCCCCCCCCCCCCCCACUGACCGUUUACUGUGACAUGGUUGAAUAGGAACCUAUGCAAUUCAAUAACAGCAUUUCUACCAACAAAACAACACAAAAGCUCAUGAGGUACUAACAAAGGAUUCACUAUCAAACUGUAGGAAACAAAUAUUGAAUUUUAAUCAAAUCUCUACAAAGCUACCUGAGUUGUUUUAAUGUGUAUACACAUCUCUUUUUUUCCCCAUAAGAUAAUACAAUCAUAAAGACCACACAAUUCUGAACUUACAUUUUCUGUUUUUCUCCAGUAAGAAGUCAUAAGCUGGAAUACACCAGAAAUGGUGACAAAACCCGUACAAUUAGAGACCGGAGGUCCAACGAAAGAAAGAAAGAAAAAAAAAAUUGCAAUGAUCUGAAAUUCAAAGACAGACCGAGUUUGAUAACACUGACUUUCAUGUCCAUUUAGCCAGAUAAUAUCUAGAUGACAAAGUAUCAGUCCUAAAAAAAAAAUUAACAAAAAGAAUCGUCUCUCAAAGUAGAACUUACACUUUUAAUAUAGUCCAAAUCACCGCUAAAGGGGUUUUAUAUAGUGGCUUUAUCUGUACUGGUCUCUCCUGAUUCGUCACAACUUCGUCAAAUAAAACUCUACCACCACACAGUUGGAGAUCAGCUUUCAUUGGGAGCUAGAUUCAGACUUUUCUCCAUCUUUGGUCCUGUAGAGCACCUGCUCAGAAACUCGUGUUACACACAGAAGCCAUCGUCCAGGGACGUGUUCUACGAGUGUUUCACCAAGAUAUCGACAGCUUGUUGAAACACAAGAAUGAUCGAUGCCAAACGUAUAAAUCUUCGGGCAAACAUGAAAAAUCGAUUUAUAAAUACAUCCACACACUGAGUUUCAUUCGAACGAGGUCUUUGGCAGUUUUUCAGUUCUGAUUUGAUUCCAAAAGCUAGCGUUAAGGAGCUGUGGUAAGGCAUCUGAAUGGAGCUCAGCGAGGUACCUUACUCUGUAAAGCUAUCUAGAAAUAGUACAAUCAUAUAUUCAACCACUCACCACAAGCUAACAAACGAUAUUCGCGGUUUUUUUUUUUUUUGGUACAUUAUACAUUUUUUCUUCCUCCCUCCCCUUGUUUUCCAACAUCUAUAUUUUACAUCCACCCGUCUACAAGGACCUUUACAGCAUGCAAAAAUAUACAUUUAAAGUUCCCUCUUAAAGAGAGCAGGGAUUCAGGGAAAAAGAAAAAAAACUUUGUGGCUAAAUAUUAAUCAAAUCAAAUCAAAUCUGAUAUUAAUACUGUAAGACAGGGAAGAUCGCUGUUGGUGGAAGCAGCAAAUCUUUCAUUUUUGUAUUGCAUAAGCUCCUUAUUAAACGGGCUUCCGUUACCCAUGCUGGUCCUUUUUUUUUUUGUCUAUUAUCAUCUAAUGUGCAGAUGUCUAUCAAUUUUCAUAAAUCUAACUGCCUACUUCCCACUCUUACCAAGCGUAAAACGCAACAUUAUCUCAAUGAACAUCUCUCCAACAUAAAUAUGCCUGAUGAUUCACAAUUUUAAGUCAAUAUUUUGUUUAUAAUGAGGUAAUAUACAUAAAGAAAAACAACUGAGAAAGAUCCACUUUAUAAAUUAAAAGCAAAAGCUCAAUGCACCCGUGACUUUCAGAAUCAUUUUUGGCACAUGCCUAUUUCCUAUAGUCACCCUUUGGCAAAGACAUUCAAUUCCAAUUUAUCUAGCAUCACGAAAGGCACAGGUAACUACAUGCAAGCACGUCAAUACUCAUGAUAGGACACAAGAUAACUGCAGCCAAUAAGAAAACGGCGGGGAAAACAUCACUUUUCAACAUAUGGUCCAGCACUCCCACAAUUUUCUGGUUUCAAAUGUUACCUAAAGGGUAAAACAGAAAGCAUCAUGCAAAGUAACCCCAAAGGUUAGUAUUACAAACAUAUACAGUUGGUUCUGUAAGUGGGCCUGCCACACAUGUACGAACAAGCCGGUACCACACACAUUCAGAAAGAAGUUGGUAUAAAGCUUUUCAAAAUAUCCAAAAACACACACAUGAUGCUUGCAAGAACAGGAGCAUACAAAUUCCCAUGGGCCACUUAAUACCAGAAAGGAAAAACUCUCAUUUUAGUGAUUAGUGAGUCUCGUUGCCUCUUUGCAAAAUUCAUAUUUUGAGUUAUGACACAACUUUGGUGAGUUACACUUUCCUGUUGGUCAUAAAAGAACUUCCAUAAGAAGUUCAGGCAGACUAUAAUGGGAGAGCAUGUGCUUUUGUUCUGCUGUACACCAGUGCUUUAUAAUUAUAUAUUAUUUAUUAUUUUCCCCAAAUGCUUUGCUUCCUCUUUUUUCUUCUUCUUUCUUUUAAUCAAUUGAACAUAGAAGCAAAAAAAAAAAAACCUUUAAAGUGGUUACCCACAAACUAUCCAAUUUCAAACUGGGCUCAAUUGAUUCUAAGUGUUUUCAAAUGACGUUACACUGACCGAGUGAAUGGUCUCCCUGGAGAUCUUUCUUAAAUGGGCACAGGAAGCACUGUAGGCCAUGCUGUUAUCAAUAGAACAACAAAAAACAACUUGUGAUCUGAUGCAGCUGUUUGUAAUGAGACUCUUAUGAACCUGGCCUCAAUAUACAUCCUAUCUUGAAAGAACACUAUAUUAAAAAAAAAUCCUUAGUCUUGAGAGGAACUGGAUUAUAUCCUUGUUUGCCAGUUGUGUCGAUCAUGUUAACCUUGCCUAAAUCAUGCAUAUGAAAAACAAAAAACAAAACUAUAGAAACACAAAGAUAAGGGCUAGGUCAUUUUAGAUAUACACUUGUCUACAUUUUCAAUUUGUCCCUCCCCAAAAAUAAAACAGAUCUGAAGAUCUUCUUUAAAGAACACCCUCCAUUUUACUCUUUUAUCAUAACACAUUUAAAAUAAUCAUGGGUAUCUGUUCUUCUGCAGUUGCAUUUCUCAUAGUCUUGAUUACAUAAUGAGGGUCCUAUUAAAUUACUAAAUUUUAGAAGUCCUUUUCAUCAGUUAUACAACAUAUUCAUUUUUGGUAACUGCUUGCAUAAUUUUCAAAUGGAAAAGACCAUAAAGUGAGGUAAAUGUGUAAUGAGACUCAUGGACCCAGAGGUAUAAUAAGGUAAAUGAGGUAAAAGGUUUAGAUGAGGUAUGAGAUAAAGAAAGUCUGAUUUAAAAUGUACACAAAAAAGAAAAAAGAAAACAGCAGUAGAUAUAUCAAAACAUUCUCCUAAUGUUUCUGCCAAAACAUGCAGCUUUGUAUUUAUCAAUCGUUAUGAGAAACAUUCAGGGAUAUAACUUUUGUGCACAGUAACAAUCAGGAAAAAAAAUUGUGCGAACUGUGCAAAUACCCAAACAUUGUUUCAUUUCGUUUAGUUCUUUUUUUUUUUUUUUGUUCUCAUUCUACGAAGAAGAAGAAAAAAAAAACACUGAGGUAGACGCUUCUUUAUAAAACUUCACGGACUCUGCACAAAUGUGAGUACAUUCAUACAUAAGCUAGAUGAGGUAGGUGUAAUGCAGAGAGAAAAUAUUUCAAGAAUGCAAGAAAUUCCCUGAGAAAAAAAAAUGAAAGGAAAAAAAAAAAGAUUU